rnacentral:tRNA from 1 species
UCGAAAUCGAUAGACGCUACGGACUUAAAAUCCGUCGACUUUAUAAGUCGUGAGGGUUCAAGUCCCUCUAUCCCCA